rnacentral:sRNA from 1 species
GGGCCAGUGGGAAUUUAUAGCCAAGGAGCAGUGUGGGGGUCAGUGGAUGGAAAAUUACUCAAACGAAGCAUUGGGGUAAGGUGGAUCUGGCUAAACCUAACAGGAUUCUCACUGAAGACAGGCCAGGGUGAUCAGACAUCACCUGGGGGAUGGUGCAGGAUGAGAAACCUGGUCAGACAUUGAGGCGAUCGGAUGUUGAUGUUGCUGGUUCUUGGUAAAACGACUUAGCCAGUGUCCUUUGCUAAAACUGGAUUUUACAAGGAAGUGCACAAACAGGCCUAGCAGAAGAUUCAGAAGCCUGACUAAAAUUUGGCCAAGGAAAAAAUCCUUGUCACCAGGAAAGUGAGGAUUAUUGUCACCAAAUUCAGACUGCCAAUUGUUAAACAUUUACCUGCACAUACUGGGCUCAUCUUCAUUAUUGGUAAAAUGAGCUAGAUGCUAUUUUCCAUUAGCUCACACUCCAAUUCCAAUCGACCUGACCAUCAGAAAAGACAAAAAGGGAAAAUCCUGGCCAGUUCUCCCCUACCUGAUCAACCAGUAGCAUAAUCAGAUUUGCAAGACCUCAAGAAAAGAAACCUGAAAAUGCCACUGGAGGUGUGUGUUUUGCCAAAGAAAAAAG